rnacentral:sRNA from 1 species
AGACUCAAAGACUAAUGAAGCCACCAUUUAAAAGAUGACUUUCUCUUUUCUCUUAGGAUACCUGGGAUGAACUCCUAAUUGGUAGUGUAGAAGUGAAAAAGGUAAUGGCAUGCCCCAGGUAAGGAGCCUAGCUAGACCCCAGGACUGCGGUGUGGCCCACUCAUUGGUUCCUAAGCAUCACCUAACCCUUGGUUAUUGCAUAACAGGUGUAUUUUGACAACGGUGGACCCAGACGCUGGAGUCAUAGACAGGAAAGAGCCACUGGACACCCUGAAGAGCUACCGCCUGUGUGAUCCUUCUGAGAGGCAAUUAUACAAGUUGUCUCCGCUUUUUGGGAUCUAUUAUUCAGUGGAAAAAAUUGGAAGCCUCAGAGUUGGUGACCCUGUGUAUCGGAUGGUGUAGUGAUGGAUCCACUAGGGUGAUAUGGCUUCAGCAACCAGGAGGGAUUGACUGAGAUCUUAACAACAGCGGCAACGAUACAUCAGCAAAUCCUUAUUAUCCAGCCUUAAACUAUCUUUACCCUGGAAAACAAUCUCGAUUUUUGACUUUUCAAAGUUGUGUAUGCUCUAGGUUAAUGCAAGGAAAGUAUUCGAGGUGGGAAUAUGAAAGUAUAUAUAUAAAUUUUAGGUACUGAAGGCUUUAAAAAUAAUUAACAUCAUCAAAAAUGCUAUUUUGAAUGUUAUCAUGGCUAU